UACGGAGGGUGCGAGCGUUGUUCGGAAUCACUGGGCGUAAAGCGCGUGUAGGCGGCCCACUAAGUCUGAUGUGAAAGCCCGGGGCUCACCCCCCGGAAGUGCAUUGGAAACUGGUGGACUCGAGUCCCGGAGAGGAGAGUGGAAUUCCGUGGUGUAGCGGUGAAAUGCGGCAGAAUAUCAGGAAGAACACCUAUGGCGAAGGCAGCACUCUGGGACGGUACUGACGGCUGAGACGCGAAAGCGUGGGGAGCGAACAGGAUUAAGAAAC
rnacentral:rRNA from 1 species